rnacentral:lncRNA from 1 species
UGCUCUAUAUCUAUAAUACUAAAAUUACGAGGUCCAAUUUUUCAGCCGUCAUCACGUAAAAACGACGAAUCACAGAAUUCAACUUUAUAUAUAACUAAUAAAAUACAAAGGUGUAGAUUAAAAAUUACACCACUCCAGGCCCUUUUGUUUUCCACGUAAUUAAUAUUGCCAAUAAUUAAGAAGUUCCGGGUCGAGUCCGCUAUCGAUACCAAUAGUAUAUUCACCUGUUACCUAUUACCUUAUCUGUACGUUCCGCAUCUGACAGGCGCACCACCAAACGUUGUAUCCAGGAUUAAUAUGCUAUAUACACGGGUCAUAACCACAGGGUUGACACUACUAAAUUGUCAAAUUG